rnacentral:lncRNA from 1 species
CCAUGGCUUCAAUCGCCGUCCUAGCCUCUGAUCGUGACGGAAAAUGGAGCAGAACGCGAUAAGACCGAGUAAGUCUCCCUUCUCCCAUUUUAUUCUUGUUACAAAAUAAAAUAAUAAAAAAAGAAUAGAAAAAAAUAAAAAAAAUAGACGCGAUUCACCUUCGAAAAAUUUCUUUUGUAUUCUCAAUAUUUCUCUCUCUCUAUUUUCGUAUUUCUUUUCACUGAAUCCCCCCUUUUUUUACAAUAUUUCAAUGGCUUUUAUAGCCGAAACAAAACAGAAAAAAUAGGUAUAAAAGGAAAUUAAUUCUUUCCUUCCAUUUUGCUAUUAGUCCAUUUCUUUUCGCUGCUUGUUUCCUUGUCUGUUGCAUUGCAGGUUCAUGGCCAGGCUGGAGAUGCACGGUGGUGUAGCACACGCGGGGAAGAGGCGCGCCUGGGCUACUGUUGCGGCGCAAUGGCUGGAGCUUGCUAGGGUUUUUGAUUUUUUUCGGUUUUGGGCCAGGGUUGUAUCGGGUCUCUGUUUAGUGGGGAUUUGGGUAUGUAAUUUUGGGCUUUUAAAUUGGGUCAAUGUAAUGGACAUUUGGACCUUUAUUUUAUUUAUUUUUUGUUGG